rnacentral:rRNA from 1 species
AAAUUGAAGAGUUUGAUCAUGGCUCAGAUUGAACGCUGGCGGCAGGCCUAACACAUGCAAGUCGAACGGUAACAGGAAGCAGCUUGCUGCUUCGCUGACGAGUGGCGGACGGGUGAGUAAUGUCUGGGAAACUGCCUGAUGGAGGGGGAUAACUACUGGAAACGGUAGCUAAUACCGCAUAAUGUCGCAAGACCAAAGAGGGGGACCUUCGGGCCUCUUGCCAUCGGAUGUGCCCAGAUGGGAUUAGCUUGUUGGUGGGGUAACGGCUCACCAAGGCGACGAUCCCUAGCUGGUCUGAGAGGAUGACCAGCCACACUGGAACUGAGACACGGUCCAGACUCCUACGGGAGGCAGCAGUGGGGAAUAUUGCACAAUGGGCGCAAGCCUGAUGCAGCCAUGCCGCGUGUAUGAAGAAGGCCUUCGGGUUGUAAAGUACUUUCAGCGGGGAGGAAGGGAGUAAAGUUAAUA